rnacentral:rRNA from 1 species
CCUACGGGUGGCAGCCGUGGGGAAUAUUGCACAAUGGGGGAAACGCUGAUGCAGCCACGCCGCGUGAGUGAAGUAGGAUCUCGGUAUGUAAAACUCUAUUUGUCGGGAAGAAGAGGACGGUACCUGAGUAAGAUGCCCUGGCUAACUACGUGACAGCAGCCGUGGCAAUCCGUAGGGGGCAAGCGUUAUCCGGAUUUACUGGGGGUAAAGGGUGCGUAGACGGUGUGACAAGUGUGAAGUGAAAGGCUGGGGCCCAACCACAGGACGGGUGUGGAAACUGGCUGACUGGAGUGGUGGAGAGGAAGGCGGAAUGCGUGGUGUAGCGGUGAAAUGCAUAGAUAUCACGCAGAACCCCGAUGGCGAAGGCAGCUUGCUGGACAGUAACUGACGUUGAGGCUCGAAAGCGUGGGGAGCAAACAGGAUUAGAUACCCUGGUAGUC